rnacentral:rRNA from 1 species
GAUGUCCCGCUUGCGGGACGGAUUAGUGGCGAACGGGUGAGUAAUACGUGAGUAACCUGCCCCUGACUCUGGGAUAAGCCUGGGAAACCGGGUCUAAUACUGGAUACUACUACUUGCCGCAUGGUGGGUGGUGGAAAGGGUUCUACUGGUUUUGGAUGGGCUCACGGCCUAUCAGCUUGUUGGUGGGGUAAUGGCUCACCAAGGCGACGACGGGUAGCCGGCCUGAGAGGGUGACCGGCCACACUGGGACUGAGACACGGCCCAGACUCCUACGGGAGGCAGCAGUGGGGAAUAUUGCACAAUGGGCGCAAGCCUGAUGCAGCGACGCCGCGUGAGGGAUGACGGCCUUCGGGUUGUAAACCUCUUUCAGUAGGGAAGAAGCGAAAGUGACGGUACCUGCAGAAGAAGCGCCGGCUAACUACGUGCCAGCAGCCGCGGUAAUACGUAGGGCGCAAGCGUUGUCCGGAAUUAUUGGGCGUAAAGAGCUCGUAGGCGGUUUGUCGCGUCUGCUGUGAAAGCCCGGGGCUCAACCCCGGGUCUGCAGUGGGUACGGGCAGACUAGAGUGCAGUAGGGGAGACUGGAAUUCCUGGUGUAGCGGUGAAAUGCGCAGAUAUCAGGAGGAACACCGAUGGCGAAGGCAGGUCUCUGGGCUGUUACUGACGCUGAGGAGCGAAAGCAUGGGGAGCGAACAGGAUUAGAUACCCUGGUAGUCCAUGCCGUAAACGUUGGGCAC